rnacentral:lncRNA from 1 species
CCUGAGUCAAUUGUCUUACUUGAAAUCAUCAAACUGGUCUUUAUUUUAAAUUUUUUUGAAAGUGAGGAAUGUCAUACAUCCAAAGGUCUAACUUUAAGAUUAUUACAUUUUGACUUUUUCUUCCAAGACAUCAGUGCACACAUGCUUGAAUUUGGGCAAGGGAAAAAUGAGAGAUGUUUAGAAGGGUUUGGAAAGGGAAUGGGAUAGGCACAUGAGUACUACAAUCCUCAAAGGAGAUGUAAUAUGUGAGUUUCAAGACAAAACACAAUAUACCAAAAAUUUUGCCCCGGUUUGGUGUUUGGGAAAAUGAGUUGGGGUUUGGAUCCAUGAAAAUUAAGGUGAAAAUUAAAGGGAGAUCAGUAAAGUUGCCCCAGUCUUGAGAUCAUGAGUUGAUGAAUUUCAAGGCAAAGACGCGUGGUGAGAUCCACAAAGUUGCCCCAGUUUUUCUUUGGCAAAAGGGUUCCGUUUCGAAGAGGUAGUGGGCAUGAAAAGGAUCGGCCAAAAGGAUGGUCCCAACUGGUUUGAUUUUCUUUUGCAUGCUUCUGGCUAGGUUGUAGGGAGAUCCCCUCUUCUUGAGACAUUACCUUUUUCUUUUUUUUAUUCAUUCGUUUUCAACUUCUUUUUUUUUUUUUUACGACACAUUGAAAAUCAUUUUGCCUUAUCGCAAAAUUAAGCUUUAUAAAAAUUUGAGCAAUCAUUAUUCACUCUACGCGGACUUUAUUAGGCUUGUAACGUGGCUAGGGGCUAAAAGGUAUUAGAAGAAAGGGUAUAACGGCCCAAAUGAACGUUUGUCGGUUAUAUUUUUUGGAAACAAGGGUUGUCAUUCAGGCAUUGCAUCAACUAUUUGACUUUUCGACACUUUGUUUUUUUUCCCGAACUUUGGUUUUCAUUUUUUUUCAUCAUCACUUUGUAUUUUUUUUUGCUUUUUUUUUAUUCACUCUUCUUGAUGAAUUCUCUUCGUUUGAUCAAUGAGUGCUCAUCAUUU